GUGUGGCCGAAGAUUAAAACCAUUGAAAGGUGAAGCUUUAACAAACGCUAAUCUCUAAUAUAAUAGUUGGUUAUAAACUAAAAUGGCUGUCUUAUUUUUUUAAGAUCCAGUGUAGAUAAUGGCGGAUUCUCGUGAACGUCGUGUUUUUAAACUAUAAAUUUUGUAUUAAGUGCUGAAGCAAUUUGAUGUGUGUUUUAAAUGAGUUUAGUGUUUGUUUGUGACCAGUGGUUUGGUUUUCAAGUGCAAAACAGACCUGUUGGUUUACAUAUUCAUCGCAGGAUGAGUACAAUGUAUAUGGAAGACAGUGUGUUUAAUGAUUGUUGGUAAUGCAUAUAUCACCGUAAGAAAAAUUAAUUCUGUUUGUGACACACAAAAUCUAUUAAAAUAAUAAAAAAACUGUGGCAUUACAUACUUAAUAAUACAUCAUCUCUGUCAUGACGUCAUCAGAGACUGUAGUGUAAUGUCAGUCGAGACCAGAUAACACAGAAACCUGAGCACGGUGGAUUAGGGCUGGUUGACCAUAAACUUAAAGCCAAAGCCCUGUUAGAAAAACUAUUGUUAAACUAUUACUGAAUAACAAUGGAGACAUUGCUGCAUUACAUCAUGCAUUGUGGACAAACAAGAUUAUUCUUCUGCAGAAAUAUGUACUAGCGGUACAAGAGUUGUAUUGGACAGUCAGUGAAUUGCCCGACGGGGGUUGUGUAUCUACCCGGCUGUAGAGUUUGGUGGACUAUGGUAAAAAACAAAACUCUUCAACCAAAGUUUGGUCCUUACCUCUUCUUAUGAUCUGUAAAUACAAUAAUAUAAUGUUAAUGGUCUGUGAGAGUAACCUGUGAAAAUUUUUGGGUAUGAGCAUUUGAGCCUCUGCCCCCAAAUGCACCAAUGUAAUUGUACAAUUGUACCAUUUGUCAACUGCCUGAAACUAUUUGUCAAUAAAAACAAAUUUAAAAAAAUAUAAUUGUUAGAGUGAAUGGUUUCGAACUUACUGGUAAUGGUAUGGAUAUGGUUCAAAUCUCCUCAUUGACAAAAUGUUUUUGUUUUAAUUACAGAUUAUUGAAUAAUACAAAUAGCUUUAAGAAAAAUGUGUUAAUAAUGUUGAUUCAUCUGAUUGCUAUAAUAUCUUUAAAUACAUAGCCUAGUCCAUUGGUUUGGUUAUUUCAUACUUGGUAGGCUUUGUACAUACUGUGGUCUUUGUAUUUUAUGAAUAAAGUAUAUGAUCACAAGUAACUUAAACAAGAAAUAUUAACCUAUAUGUAUAACCUAUAUUAUAUUAUAAAAUGUAUGUCAUAAAUUAUUUAUGGAUUAACGAACACUUAAUAGGAACUUAAUCAACACACCUGUUAGCCUAAAUGAAAAUGCAAGGUGGUUUUCAUUCACUUAGGAUUUAUGUUUAUUAUGGACACACGUGUUUAUAAACAAUGCUUGUUUUUUUGUCUUGCUUGGUAAAAUAUUUAUUAGUUACAAUUUUUCAAAGUAGUAUUAUAAGUUGUUAAUCAAUUAACAUAUUUAAAAAUAUGAAUCUGUAGCAUUUUGAACUCGUACAAUGAAAUUGGCACAAUUAUGUAUUAUUAUUAUUACUGUGAAUUAGUUGAUGAGCUGUCUUGUUUGUGUAAUGUUAUGAAUAUAUCAUAAAUAAACAACAAUAAAGCAACUCUCAAUUC